rnacentral:lncRNA from 1 species
UUCCCCUUCCCCUUUCCCUUAUCUUUGUGGCUGAAAAGAAAGAAGAAAGCAUGAGGGGAAGGAUGGCCUUUUGUUGGUGCAAGGCUUUGUAGUUGUAUGGCAAUAAUUGAGUUGGUGCAGGUCUUGUUGUGUGAUCUUUUGUUUUCCGUUCAUGUUUUGUUUGGUUUCAAUUACUAGGGGUUUAAUUUUUUGGUAACAGUUAAAAAAGAAGAAGUGAAUUAUUAGAUGUUCAAUUAUUAGGGAUUUUGUUUUCUGUUCAUGAUUUGGCCAAUUUGACUCCAGGUCAACUCUGAGAUUUGGCUGACAUCCUACUACACAGUUUUGACUCGACCAAUAUUGGCCAAAUCCAAGCGACUCGCAUCCGAUAUGGAAUAAUCGACAAUUCGAGGAUUGAUGUCGUACCUAUCCUCUCCAUUCUGGUUACGACUUGGCCGAAUGGCUAACCCUAACUGUAUUGACCUCUUCUUCAGAUACAAAACUACAUUCGAUAUUUAGUUUCUAUCGUGGCAUCGAAGGUACUCCCUCCGUCCCAUUUAUUUAGUCAUGUUUGGGGAAUCUAACUUUUUAAAAAUAUUGUUUGGUUGUGAUGCUUGUGCUUCUUUUUUCAAUUCUAUCUCCAUAAAUUCAAAAUUUAAAUUUGAAUGGCAACAUGCAUAUGAUUAGCAAGACGAGCUAUAUUUGAAAGAAAGACUAAAAUGUGUUUUGCCUUUUCUAAUACGAUAAUUGCUUUGGAACAUUCCAAAAUGAAAAGUAUGACACUUUCAAUGAAACGGAUGAAGUAUAUCUUUUGCUUUAAAACUUUCUAAUUAUUACAAUUCUGGACAGUCUAUGUCGUGCCUACCACGAACUAGCCUCCAUCUAGUUCGGAACAGGGUCAGCGAGAAGAUUUUAACGCCUAUUAUUCUGGAAAUGACGAUGAUAGCAAUGCGACUGCAAAAUUUGUCAGCGAGAAUGAUGUAGUGUCGAUGACGCUUUCAAAAAUGAUGCAUCCCCGAUUACUGCUUCGAUAGCGCUUAGCAUCUUUGUAAAUGUUAGGGUCGGCAAUGAAAUAAAUUUUGACACCAUCAACAAUGGCUCGUGAUAAGGCAAGCACAAAAGAUGCGCUAAUCGUUAACAUUAUUAUUUCUUAUCCAUAUUUUUAAAUUUCAUCAUUUGAAUGAUACUCUUUAAUUAUCUAGCAAUUAGCGUUAUUUUUAAUUUUUUAUUGAACAUUAUCACCUUAAAGUAAAAUAAUGUUAUAUAUAUAAGAAUACAAAUCAAUAAGUGAUUAGAUGAAUUGUUUCAAUUACAUAAUUCAACAUAAUAUAAUGUUAUGUAAUUUAAUAAUUUGAGAUUUAUUUUUUAAUGUUUACUUAAUUUUAAACAUAUAACUUAUAAUAUAUAAUGUUACACAAUUUAAACUCUAAAAAAUUUUAAUAGUACUAAUUUGUCCAUUAAUUUGUAUGCCAAAUAAUUUUUUCCAACUUUUAUUGCAUUUCAGAACUAAAAAAUAUUAUACUUUAGAAAAUAUUUUGAAUGCUAUCAUGCUAACAGCUUAUUUUUUAAUUAAAAAAGUUGAGCUAUCAUGCUAAUUUAACAAGCAGGUUCACAAUUUUUUAUUUUAAAAAAAAAUUCAGUCAAGCUACCAGUACAGUUUGACAUUUUUUGUUUUAAAAAAAUUUUUACUUUUUUUUUCGAAAAAUAUCUCAUUCUCAUAUUGGAUAUGCAAAUCAUAUUUUCACUGUGGGAAAGCCAAGCAUCUAUCAUCAGCUUACAAAAAAAAAAAAAAAACUACAAAAGUUUCUAGAUCAGAAAACUUUGUUCAACACCGCUAUCACCAAUAUUCGCUGACUCACACAUUUCUUCAACCUAUAAGACAAAAAGAGAUAGUAUUAUCGCUCAUAGUUUAUUUACUUGAAAAUCCAAUUUUUUCGUCCACUUUCGAUGACACGAUAGGAGAAUAACCCUUUUGAUUGCCAAUUUUCGACACAUUUCUUCAUCACGUUCAUCAACUCAACUGCCUCUUUCGCAAUCACAAUCAAAAAUCCAACUUCAAUCGUGCGACAUACUCCAUUCUCCAGUGCACCUAUCCGCCAAUUACGGCGGUCUCUAUCCCGAUUCCGGUGCACUUCGCAUCAUUCGAUAUCUUUCAAUCCAAUCUUUCAAGCAUCUCCGAUUGUUUCUUCUGCAUCUCGUCCGAUUGUUUCUUAAUCGCUUCCAAUUGAUUGUGCAUCUAUCCACCAUUAUUUCUAAAAAAAUUAUUAGUUGAUGUGCAUAAUCAACAUAGCAGGUAUAGAUUAAGAAAAGAAAGGUGUUAAAAUCACAUUUAUCAAAUUUUUUGGAGCAAUAUUCUAGGAAAUUAGCCAACAAAAUAUGGCAAGAGCGCAACUCCAAAUAUCAACCAACAAAAUAUUCAAAACAAUUCAAUGGGUCAUACUUAAAUAGCAUGCUUAUCACAAUCUAUUUAGAAUUGACAAGUGCAUCCACAUCAUCUCUAAUGCAAUUGGGUGAUCACUGUGAGAGAAAAAAAAGAAAUAGAAAAAAGGUCAUUAAACUAUUGGAAAGAGAGACUAAAAUGUGUUUUGCCUUUUCUAAUACGAUAAUUGCUUUGGGACAUUCCAAAAUGAAAAGUAUGACACUUUCAAUGAAAUGGAUGAAGUAUAUCUUUUGCUUUAAAACUUUCUAAUUAUUACAAUCCUGGACAGCCUAUGUCGUGCCUACCACGAACUAGCCUCCAUCUAGUUCGGAACAAGGUCAACGAGAAGAUUUUAGCACCUAUUAUUCUGGAAAUGACGAUGAUAGCAAUGCGACUGCAAAAUUUGUCAGCGAGAAUGAUGUAGUGUCGAUGACGCUUUCAAAAAUGAUGCAUCCCCGAUUACUGCUUCGAUAGCGCUUAGCAUAUUUGUAAAUGUUAGGGUCGGCAAUGAAAUAAAUUUUGACACCAUCAACAAUGGCUCGUGAUAAGGCAAGCACAAAAGAUGUGCUAAUCGUUAACAUUGUUAUUUUUUAUCCAUAUUUUUAAAUUUCAUCAUUUGAAUGAUACUCUUUGAUUAUCUAGCAAUUAGCGUUAUUUUUAAUUUUUUAUUGAACAUUAUCACUUUAAAGUAAAAUAAUGUUAUAUAUAUAAGAAUACAAAUCAAUAAGUGAUUAGAUGAAUUGUUUCAAUUACAUAAUUCAACAUAAUAUAAUGUUAUGUAAUUUAAUAAUUUGAUAUUUAUUUUUUAAUUUUUACUUGAUUUUAAACAUAUAACUUAUAAUAUAUAAUGUUACACAAUUUGAACACUAAAAAAUUUUAAUAGUACUAAUUGGUCCAUUAAUUUGUAUGCCAAAUAAUUUUUUUCAACUUUUGUUGCAUUUCAGAACUAAAAAAUAUUAUACUUUAGAAAAUAUUUUGAAUGCUAUCAUGCUAACAGCUUUUUUUUUAAAAAUAUAAAAAUUGAGCUAUCAUGCUAAUUUAACAAGCAGGUUCACAAUUUUUUAUUUUAAAAAAAAAUUCAGUCAAGCUACUAGUACAGUUUGACAUUUUUUGUUUUAAAAAAAUUUUUACUUUUAUUUCGAAAAAUAUCUCAUUCUUAUAUUGGAUAUGCAAAUCAUAUUUUCACUGUGGGAAAGCCAAGCAUCUAUCAUCAGCUUACAAACAAAAAAAAAAAAACUACAAAAGUUUCUAGAUCAGAAAACUUUGUUCAACACCGCUAUCACCAAUAUUCGCUGACUCACACAUUUCUUCAACCUAUAAGACAGAAAGAGAUAGUAUUACCGCUCACAGUUUAUUUACUUAAAAAUUCCAAUUUUUCCGUCCACUUUCGAUGACACGAUAGGAGAAUAAUCCUUUGAUUGCCAAUUUUCGACACAUUUCUUCAUCACGUUCAUCAACUCAACUGCCUCUUUUGCAAUCACAAAAAAAAAUGCAACUUCAAUCGUGCGACAUACUCCAUUCUCCAGUGCACCUAUCCGCCAAUUACGGCGGUCUCUAUCCCGAUUCUGGUGCACUUCGUCUUUCAAAUUUUCGAUAUCUUUUUGCAUAUCCAAUUGUUUUUCCAACCCUUUCAAGAUAUUUUUCUACAUCUCCGAUUGUUUCUUCUGCAUCUCGUCCGAUUGUUUCUUAAUCGCUUCCAAUUGUUCCGAUUGUGCAUCUAUCCACCAAUUGUUUCUAAAAAAAUUAUUAGUUGAUGUGCAUAAUCAACAUAGCAGGUAUAGAUUAAGAAAAGAAAGGUGUUAAAAUCGCAUUUUUCAAAUUUUUUGGAGCAAUAUUCUAUGAAAUUAGCCAACAAAAUAUGGCAAGAGUGCAACUCCAAAUAUCAACCAACAAAAUAUUCAAAACAAUUCAAUGGAUCAUACUUAAAUAGCAUGCUUAACACAAGUUAUUUAGAAUUGACAAGUGCAUCCACAUCAUCUCUAAUGCAAUUGGGUGAUCACUGUGAGAGGAAAAAAAGAAAUAGAAAAAAGGUCAUUAAAAUUGGUGAGAUAAACAAUAAAAAUGAUUUAGCUGCUCGUUCUUAAUAUUUUUGAUAUAUGUAGAUAGAUCUUAAAUUGACUUCAAGGAUUUCUAUUAUGCAAUUAUUAAGAUGCCCAAGGUAUUCCAAACUGCUACAACAUAAGAUACUUGCAACAUAUUAAAUUUUUUGAAAAAAUAUACCUGAUCGUCUAAUCCAAAAUAACCAUUUGAUCCAACCAACAAAAUAGGUUGUGAAAGAAAGUAGAGGGAUGAUGUCUGGACAACAUCACAAAAGUCAAAUUAGACUAAAAUCAAUCAAAUUCAUGACAUAAUUUUGUAAAGACUAAGAACAAGUACCUCUCAAUAGUUUGGACAUACCUGAAAUUGAAUUUUUUAUUAUUUUUUUGAUUUGCCAACUAAUUCAUUUUCAUUCUUUUCUUUCUCAAGACAACAAUAUGAACUUCGUUGAAACCAAUGAAACUCGAUAUCUAGACAAGCCGCGUGAUCAUUUUAUGGACAACUUUGCGUCGUAAAAACCUUUAGAGCCCUCUAAUCCCUGUAAUUGCAAAUCUAUUGAUAUAAUCUCAAUUCACAACGGAACAAAUUAGUGAACUUUUGAUUGUUGGUAGUUUAUGUUAUAAUCAAGCAUGGUCCUUGAUUGAUAAGUCAAAUUAAAUAUGUUAAAACACACUCAAGAUGAAUUCAAGAAUAGUUCACAAGGAUCCAAGAAAAAACUCUCAAUCUCAAUUGUCAAAAUCUACUGUUACUAUAACUGAUAAUAAGACCUAUUUAUAAGUUAGAAAAUCUAGACUAACUCAAAUCUAAGUUGGAUUGGGAUCUAUUUAAUUUAUUUAUUUAAGCCAUAUUUGAAUUUGACAUGAAUUACAACACUUAUUAUAACUAUUGACUAAACAAGUGACCCAAAACUGAUAAAGAUGAUAGAUUUAUUGAAAAUGACAUGCCAACUAACAAAACUAACAAUCAGAUAACUAAAACAUAUCAAAGAGCGGAUAGAAAAAUAUAAAAAACACUCUAAAUCGAUUUGAUGAAUUUGGUAUCGGAGUUAAAACCAGAGGUUACGCUAGAUAUUAACUAGAAUGGGAUCCAUGUGGUGAUCAACGAGGCGGAGGAUCACCGAUUAGGCCACACAUCUGACAAUGAUGUUUUAAAUAACAUUUUCUUCACUCCAUUUGAGCUUCGUAUUUGAACAGUCACGCAUACAUCUUUAUUUACCUAAAUGAAUGUUUGGAUGAUAUUUUAUGCAUUUAUGCUCCUUGAUUCUCCUCAUAUAUACAAUUCUUUCUAUUAAAUUUAGGUAAUUCAAUGCACUAUUGCACAACCACAUUCUAUCCUCCAAUUGUGUGAAUUAAUGUACUAUCCAUAUUUAAAGGUCCACUUGAACAAGCUGCUAAAACAAAUGUUGCCAAAAUCACAAUCCGGAUCAGUAAAAUUGAUACGAAUCAUGCUCAAAAUCGAAAGCGGCCUUAAUAUACAUAAGAUCAUUAGAAUCGUUUGUGGGAUCAUUGGAUUGUAUGAUUCCUAUUGCGAUCCUACGAAUUUUUGAAAAUCUUAUAAAUAUAGGGCUAAAUUGUGAAACUAAAUGAAAACCUUUGAAACACGUUUAUAACUUAUUAAAGAAUUGGAUCCUUUAAUUACGAUUUUUCAAUAAAUUUUGUCUCAAAAACAAAACCUGCAACAAAAAAAGGAUCCAGGAACAAAUGAAUCAAACGAACAAAGACAAAAUUACAAAAGAUGAAGAAAGAGAAUAGUUUUUCAGUUCUUUUCCAUAUCCAUUCCAAACUUCUUUCCCGUCUCGAUUCCAAAAAAAUUUCUCAAAAUUUUGCUAAUCUCUCAUCUUUGAUUCUUUAUUCUCUAUGUAUCCUUGUCCAAACUCAAUAAAUUUCUAGUAGAAGAAAUCGCCAAAUGAAAAUAACCGCAAGUACCCAUAAGCCAUAAUUUGAUUGUUUCUUUUAAUUAUGCCUAUCAGCUAUAUAUUUGUGCUAAAUACUUUUUCUAUCAAGUGUUAAAAUGAGUUGUAUUCUUAUUUUUGAUUAAGUAGGUUGCCAAGACCUUUUCUUUUCAUUUUGGAGUUUCAUUCUUUUCUUCUUUUUUUUUUUGAUUAUUUUGAGAAAUUAAAAUAUAAAGCCGUGGACUUCAUUGGGGUUCUGUUUCUUUUCUCUUUUUUGCUGGUUAUUUUAUGACAUUAAAAUAUAUAGCUAUAGUUUUUAUACUAUGUUCCCUCUAUUUAAACAUGAAGAUGCUCCCUCUCUGCAAAUGAUGAAAAAAUUGACAGUAUGUUUCUCCAAAUAAUGAUUUUGUGCUCUACUUUUUACACCUCAUCUUCCUCAUUCCCUUCCCCUUUCCCUUAUCUUUGUGGCUGAAAAGAAAGAAGAAAGCAUGAGGGGAACGAUGGCCUUUUGUUGGUGCAAGGCUUUGAAGUUGUAUGACAAUAAUUGAGUUGAUGCAGGUCUUGUUGUGUGAUCUUUUGUUUUCCGUUCAUGUUUUGUUUGGUUUCAAUUACUAGGGGUUCAAUUUUUUGGUAACAGUUAAAAAAGAA